rnacentral:rRNA from 1 species
UGAGGAAUAUUGGUCAAUGGACGCAAGUCUGAACCAGCCAAGUAGCGUGCAGGAUGACGGCCCUCCGGGUUGUAAACUGCUUUUAGUUGGGAAUAAAGUGCAGCUCGUGAGCUGUUUUGUAUGUACCAUCAGAAAAAGGACCGGCUAAUUCCGUGCCAGCAGCCGCGGUAAUACGGAAGGUCCAGGCGUUAUCCGGAUUUAUUGGGUUUAAAGGGAGCGCAGGCGGACUCUUAAGUCAGUUGUGAAAUACGGCGGCUCAACCGUCGGACUGCAGUUGAUACUGGGAGUCUUGAGUGCACACAGGGAUGCUGGAAUUCAUGGUGUAGCGGUGAAAUGCUCAGAUAUCAUGAAGAACUCCGAUCGCGAAGGCAGGUAUCCGGGGUGCAACUGACGCUGAGGC